rnacentral:rRNA from 1 species
AGCUGGUCUGAGAGGAUGAUCAGCCACACUGGAACUGACACACGGUCCAGACUCCUACGGGAGGCAGCAGUGAGGAAUUUUGCGCAAUGGGGGAAACCCUGACGCAGCAACGCCGCGUGAGUGAUGAAGGCUUUCGGGUCGUAAAGCUCUGUCAAGUGGGAAGAAUCUGUACGAUAUUAAUACUAUCGUGCACUGACGGUACCACUGAAGGAAGCACCGGCUAACUCCGUGCCAGCAGCCGCGGUAAUACGGGGGGUGCAAGCGUUAUUCGGAAUUAUUGGGCGUAAAGAGCGCGUAGGCGGUCUUGUAAGUCAGAUGUGAAAUACCGGGGCUCAACCCCGGAAGUGCAUUUGAUACUGCAGGACUUGAGUAUGGGAGAGGGAAGUGGAAUUCCUGGUGUAGAGGUGAAAUUCGUAGAUAUCAGGAGGAACACCGGUGGCGAAGGCGACUUCCUGGACCAAUACUGACGCUGAGGCGCGAAGGCGUGGGGAGCAAACAGGAUUAGAUACCCUGGUAGUCCACGCAGUAAACGUUGAUCACUAGGUGUAGCGGGUAUUGACCCCUGCUGUGCCGCAGUUAACGCAUUAAGUGAUCCGCCUGGGGAGUACGAUCGCAAGGUUAAAACUCAAAGGAAUUGACGGGGGCCCGCACAAGCGGUGGAGCAUGUGGUUUAAUUCGACAACGCGAAGAACCUUACCUGGAUUUGACAUCCCGGGACCGCCCUUGAAAGAGGGAAAUGCCCUUCGGGGAGCCCGGUGACAGGUGCUGCAUGGCUGUCGUCAGCUCGUGUCGUGAGAUGUUGGGUUAAGUCCCGCAACGAGCGCAACCCUUAUUUUUAGUUACCAUCAUUUAGUUGGGGACUCUAAAGAUACUGCCCCGGUUAACGGGGAGGAAGGUGGGGAUGACGUCAAGUCCUCAUGGCCUUUAUGUCCAGGGCUACACACGUGCUACAAUGGACUGUACAAAGGGUCGCAAUCCCGCGAGGGGGAGCUAAUCCCACAAAGCAGUUCUCAGUUCGGAUUGGAGUCUGCAACUCGACUUCAUGAAGUUGGAAUCGCUAGUAAUCGUGGAUCAGCAUGCCACGGUGAAUACGUUCCCGGGCCUUGUACACACCGCCCGUCACACCAUGAGAGUUGGUUGUACCAGAAGUUGUUGGACUAACCCGCAAGGGGGGUAAACACCUAAGGUAUGGCUGAUGAUUGGGGUGAAGUCGUAACAAGGUA